rnacentral:rRNA from 1 species
AGUGAACGCUGGCGGUAGGCCUAACACAUGCAAGUCGAACGGCAGCACAGUAAGAGCUUGCUCUUACGGGUGGCGAGUGGCGGACGGGUGAGGAAUACAUCGGUAUCUACUUUUUCGUGGGGGAUAACGUAGGGAAACUUACGCUAAUACCGCAUACGACCUACGGGUGAAAGCAGGGGAUCUUCGGCCCUUGCGCGAUUGAAUGAGCCGAUGUCGGAUUAGCUAGUUGGCGGGGUAAAGGCCCACCAAGGCGACGAUCCGUAGCUGGUCUGAGAGGAUGAUCAGCCACACUGGAACUGAGACACGGUCCAGACUCCUACGGGAGGCAGCAGUGGGGAAUAUUGGACAAUGGGCGCAAGCCUGAUCCAGCCAUACCGCGUGGGUGAAGAAGGCCUUCGGGUUGUAAAGCCCUUUUGUUGGGAAAGAAAAGCAGCAGGUUAAUACCCCGCUGUUCUGACGGUACCCAAAGAAUAAGCACCGGCUAACUUCGUG